rnacentral:rRNA from 1 species
GCAAAGUUGUGUAGUGCGAUCGGUGGAUGCCUUGGCACCAAGAGCCGAUGAAGGACGUUGUGACCUGCGAUAAGCCCUGGGGAGUUGGUGAGCGAGCUGUGAUCCGGGGGUGUCCGAAUGGGGAAACCUGGAAUGUCCGGAGUAGUGUCCGGUGGCCCUGCCCUGAAUGUAUAGGGGUGUGGGUGGUAACGCGGGGAAGUGAAACAUCUUAGUACCCGUAGGAAGAGAAAACAAGUGUGAUUCCGUGAGUAGUGGCGAGCGAAAGCGGAGGAGGCUAAACCGUGUGUGUGUUCAAGCCGGCAGGUGUUGCAUGUGCGGGGUUGUGGGGGCCUUGUGGUUCUGCUGCCGCAGGAUUGGCCAGUGAGAAAUGUUGCGUGAAGGUGAAGCGUCUGGGAAGGCGUACCGGAGUGGGUGAGAGUCCUGUAACUGUAAGCGUGGCACUGGUGUGGGGUUGCCCCGAGUAGCGUGGGACUCGUGGAAUUUCGCGUGAAUCUGGCGGGACCACCCGUCAAGCCUAAAUACUCCUUGGUGACCGAUAGUGGAUGAGUACCGUGAGGGAAGGGUGAAAAGUACCCCGGGAGGGGAGUGAAAGAGUUCCUGAAACCGGUCGCAUGCAAGCCGUCAGAGCCUGUGUGGUGAUGGCGUGCCUUUUGAAGAAUGAGCCUGCGAGUUAGUGAUGCGUGGCGAGGUUAACCCGUGGUGGGGGAGUCGUAGCGAAAGCGAGUCCGAUAAGGGCGUGAGUCGCGUGUUCUAGACCCGAAGCGGUGUGAUCUAUCCAUGGCCAGGAUGAAGCGUCGGUAAGACGUCGUGGAGGUCCGAACCCACUUCAGUUGAAAAUGGAGGGGAUGAGUUGUGGAUAGGGGUGAAAGGCCAAUCAAACACCGUGAUAGCUGGUUCUCCCCGAAAUGCAUUUAGGUGCAGCGUUGCGUGGUUCUUGUUGGAGGUAGAGCACUGGAUGGUCUAGGGGGCUUAUCGGCUUACCGAAAUCAGCCAAACUCCGAAUGCUGGCAAGUGUAGCGUGGCAGUGAGACGGCGGGGGAUAAGCUUCGUCGUCGAGAGGGAAACAGCCCAGAUCAUCAGCUAAGGCCCCUAAGUGGUGACUCAGUGGGAAAGGAUGUGGAGUUGCGUAGACAACCAGGAGGUUGGCUUGGAAGCAGCCAUCCUUGAAAGAGUGCGUAAUAGCUCACUGGUCAAGUGAUUCCGCGCCGAUAAUGUAGCGGGGCUUAAGUUAUCCGCCGAAGCUGUGGCAACCUGUGUGGUUGGGUAGGGGAGCGUCGUGUCAGUGGUGAAGCUGCCGGGUGACUGUGUGGUGGAGUUGAUGCGAGUGAGAAUGCAGGCAUGAGUAGCGUGUGACGGGUGGGAAUCCCGUCCGCCGAUUAUCCAAGGGUUCCAGGGUCAAGUUUGUCUGCCCUGGGUGAGUCGGGUCCUAAGGCGAGGCCGACAGGCGUAGUCGAUGGGUAACCAGUUGAUAUUCUGGUACCGGCUUGUCACCGUCCGUGUCGAGGUGUGUGAUGCUAAGCAUGUGAGCUUGUCUUGGGAGUGUUUUUGAUGCUUCUGGGGUGGGUGAGUGUGUGAACCGAUCAUGUAGUAGGCAAGCUGCGGAGGGACGCAGUGAGGUAGCUCAUCCCCGGUGAUGGUUGUCCGGGGCUAAGUGUGUGGACUGUCUGGUAGGUAAAUCCGCUGGGCGUGAAGGUUGAGGCAUGAUGGGGAGCCCAUGGUUGUGGGUGAGUGAGUGAUCCUGUACUGUCGAGAAAAGCUUCGUGAGCGAGGUGGCGGGUCCGCCCGUACCCUAAACCGACACUGGUGGAUAGGUAGAGUAUACCGAGGCGAUCGAGUGAAUCGUGGUGAAGGAACUCGGCAAAAUGCCCCCGUAACUUUGGGAUAAGGGGGACCUGAGCUGUCGUGCACCCGUGCGGUGUGGUGGCGGUGAGGGGCGCAGAGUCCAGGGGGAAACGACUGUUUACCAAAAACACAGGUCCGUGCGAAGUCGUAAGACGAUGUAUACGGACUGACUCCUGCCCGGUGCUGGAAGGUUAAGGGGAACUGUGAGUGUA